CCCGCCUCCUCAAAUUCCUCCUCUCUAUCUGCAGUCUCUUCUCACUUCACAUCACCCUUUUCAGAACCAGCAGCCACUGCAACAUUUUGCACCUAUAGCCAUGGGGCAUAAGUUGUAGUUAAGAACACAAACAUUUGUGGCUAAAUGUUCUAGCCGCAAAGUAAAAUUUCUGGAGAAAUACAGCUGUUAAGACAACCGUAAUAUAGUUAGGCCUCAACAUAGCUUACAUUACAACUGUCCUGGAGUAGGACUUCAAAAUAUAUCCUCUUUCAGCAACAAAAGAAGGAUGGUGGAAAGCAAAUGGCAAGACCAUUAUAGUUUAGCCAUCCCCCCACACUUCCAUUUCUCCCACACCGCCUUUCAAGCUUCAGUUCAAUCUUUCAGAUUGAGCCUCACAUUCUGAAUCUUCACAGAUAUCUUUAACUUCUGUUCCUCCAUAUCUUUCAAAACAGCUAAUAAUUUUGAUAGAUAUGCUUCAC
rnacentral:misc_RNA from 1 species